UAGUCCACGCCGUAAACGAUGAUCACUCGCUGUAGGCGAUACACAGUCUGUGGCUAAGCGAAAGUUUUAAGUGAUCCACCUGGGGAGUACGAUCGCAAGAUUGAAACUCAAAGGAAUUGACGGGGGCCCGCACAAGCGGAGGAACAUGUGGUUUAAUUCGAUGAUACGCGAGGAACCUUACCUGGACUUAAAUGUAGAUUGCAUAGCUAGAGAUAGCUAUUUCUUCGGACUACUUACAAGGUGCUGCAUGGUUGUCGUCAGCUCGUGCCGUGAGGUGUCAGGUUAAGUCCUAUAACGAGCGCAACCCCUGUUGUUAGUUGCCAGCGAGUAAUGUCGGGAACUCUAGCAAGACUGCCGGUGCAAACCGUGAGGAAGGUGGGGAUGACGUCAAAUCAUCACGGCCCUUACGUCCUGGGCUACACACGUGCUACAAUGGUAGGUACAAUGAGCAGCCACUGCGUGAGCAGGAGCGAAUCUAUAAAACCUAUCAC
rnacentral:rRNA from 1 species